UACGGGGGGAGCAAGCGUUGUUCGGAUUUACUGGGCGUAAAGGGCGCGUAGGCGGCCAUGUAGGUCUGACGUGAAAUUCCGAGGCUCAACCUCGGCAGGUCGUUGGAAACCAUAUGGCUAGAGUCCGGAAGAGGAGAGUGGAAUUCCUGGUGUAGCGGUGAAAUGCGCAGAUAUCGGGAGGAACACCAGUGGCGAAGGCGGUUACCUGGAGCUUUGCUGACGCUGAUGCGCGAAAGCGUGGGGAGCGAGUCCGG
rnacentral:rRNA from 1 species